UACGGAGGAGGCAAGCGUUGUCCGGAUUUACUGGGCGUAAAGAGCGUGUAGGCGGCAUGGCAAGUCUGCUGUGAAAGCUCUCGGCUUAACCGGGAGAGGGCGGUAGAAACUGCCAAGCUUGAGGACGGUAGAGGGGGGUGGAAUUCCCGGUGUAGUGGUGAAAUGCGCAGAUAUCAGGAGGAACACCGGUGGCGAAGGCGGGUGUCUGGGCCGUAACUGACACUGAGGGACGAAAGCUAGGGGAGCGAAUGGG
rnacentral:rRNA from 1 species